GACGAACGCUGGCGGCGUGCUUAACACAUGCAAGUCGAACGGUGAAGCGAGUGCUUGCACUCGUGGAUCAGUGGCGAACGGGUGAGUAACACGUGAGUAACCUGCCCAUCACUCUGGGAUAAGCACUGGAAACGGUGUCUAAUACUGGAUACGACCAACCCUUGCAUGGGGUGUUGGUGGAAAGAUUUAUCGGUGAUGGAUGGACUCGCGGCCUAUCAGCUUGUUGGCGGGGUAAUGGCCCACCAAGGCGACGACGGGUAGCCGGCCUGAGAGGGUGACCGGCCACACUGGGACUGAGACACGGCCCAGACUCCUACGGGAGGCAGCAGUGGGGAAUAUUGCACAAUGGGCGAAAGCCUGAUGCAGCGACGCCGCGUGAGGGAUGACGGCCUUCGGGUUGUAAACCUCUUUCAGCAGGGAAGAAGCGAAAGUGACGAUACCUGCAGAAGAAGCACCGGCUAACUACGUG
rnacentral:rRNA from 1 species